rnacentral:rRNA from 1 species
AUACGGAGGGUGCAAGCGUUGUCCGGAUUUAUUGGGUUUAAAGGGUGCGUAGGCGGUUUAUUAAGUCAGUGGUGAAAGUCUUCGGCUCAACCGGAGGACUGCCAUUGAAACUGAUAAACUUGAGUACAGUAGAGGUAGGCGGAAUUUAUGAUGUAGCGGUGAAAUGCAUAGAUAUCAUAAAGAACACCGAUAGCGAAGGCAGCUUACUAUGCUGUUACAGACGCUGAGGCACGAAAGCGUGGGGAGCGAACAGGAUUAGAAACCCCAGUAGUCC